AAUAAUAGAAAACCAGAUCGUCGAUAGGUUGAUUAGGGAUGAUGACGAGAGCCCUGGAGAGAAGAGGAGUGAGGCAUUACAACAGAUCUGAAACGCCUCGCAUCAGAUGGACUCAAGAGCUGCAUGGCCUCUUUAUUGAAGCUGUUCAUAGCCUUGGAGGACUCGAAAAUGUAUUAUUGCAGAAGCAACUCCAAAGCAAAUUUUGCAGAUGAUGGGCGUCAAGGAACUCAACAUAUCUCAAGUUAAAAGCCACCUGCAAAUGUGCAGGAUCACCAACAGCCAACCCACAAUCGAUUAUAACUCUCAAUCUAAGCAAAAACACUCCAGAAAGAGAAAGGGAAGGGCCUACAUUUCAUCACCACUUUACUCUCAAGAUUCACACCAAAACUCUACCUUCAACUCCAACUGCAUGUUCCAACUGUGAGUUUCUUAGUUCAUGCAUGUGAUUAAGUACUAAUACGCUUAAUCCCUCUGAAAAUUUCCACUCAGGCCUUCAUUUGAACAGUUGCUGAGAGAGUGGAUGCUGAAGAACCCUAGUAAUCACACAAAUGAGACUGUGGCUGCGAAGGAGAUGGAUGAACAGAAUGCAGCAACGAAAGAGGAGACUGAGUGCUGGGCCACUAGCUCGAGUGCAGAUUUGCAUGAAAGGGAUGUUUCAGAGACAAGGAGUAGAGAUUUCUGCCAACACCUGAACUUGGAGCUCACCAUAUCAUCUUCUUGUUCUUGUCCAUGUGCACUGCUGUAGCAGGCAUAAAUGGUUGAAUUCAUGAUACACAGCAAUUGCUGCUACCUAACUAACUAGCUCAGAUUGCGAAGA